rnacentral:tRNA from 1 species
GCCCUUGUAGCUCAACGGUAGAGCAGAGGACUCAUAAUCCNNNGUUAGGGGUUCGAAUCCCUUCGGGGGCA